rnacentral:rRNA from 1 species
GACGAACGCUGGCGGCGUGCUUAACACAUGCAAGUCGAACGGAAAGGCCUCUUUCGGGGGGUACUCGCGUGGCGAACGGGUGAGUAACACGUGAGUAAACUGCCCUUGACUUUGGGAUAACUUCAGGAAACUGUGGCUAUUACCGGAUAGAAGCUCCUGCUGCAUGGUGGGGGUUGGAGAGUUUCGGCGGUUGGGGGUGGACUCGCGGCUUAUCAGCUUGUUGGUGGGGUAGUGGGUUACCAAGGCUUUGACGGGUAGGCGGCCUGAGAGGGUGACCGGGCACAUUGGGACUGGGAUACGGCCCAGACUCCUACGGGAGGCAGCAGGGGGGAAUAUUGCACAAUGGGUGGAAGCCUGAUGCAGCAACGCCGUGUGCGGGAUGACGGGCUUCGGGGUGUAAACCGCUUUCGCUCAUGACGAAGCUUUGUGUGACGGUAGUGGGUAAAGAAGCACCGGCUAACUACGUG